rnacentral:rRNA from 1 species
UGGGGAAUUUUGGACAAUGGGGGAAACCCUGAUCCAGCCAUCCCGCGUGUGCGAUGAAGGCCUUCGGGUUGUAAAGCACUUUUGGCAGGAAAGAAACGUCGCGGGUUAAUACCCCGCGAAACUGACGGUACCUGCAGAAUAAGCACCGGCUAACUACGUGCCAGCAGCCGCGGUAAUACGUAGGGUGCAAGCGUUAAUCGGAAUUACUGGGCGUAAAGCGUGCGCAGGCGGUUCGGAAAGAAAGAUGUGAAAUCCCAGAGCUUAACUUUGGAACUGCAUUUUUAACUACCGGGCUAGAGUGUGUCAGAGGGAGGUGGAAUUCCGCGUGUAGCAGUGAAAUGCGUAGAUAUGCGGAGGAACACCGAUGGCGAAGGCAGCCUCCUGGGAUAACACUGACGCUCAUGCACGAAAGCGUGGGGAGCAAACAGGAUUAGAUACCCUGGUAGUCCACGCCCUAAACGAUGUCAACUAGCUGUUGGGGCCUUCGGGCCUUGGUAGCGCAGCUAACGCGUGAGGUUGACCGCCUGGGGAGUACGGUCGC